rnacentral:rRNA from 1 species
CCUCGGGUGGCAGCAGUGGGGAAUAUUGGACAAUGGGCGAAAGCCUGAUCCAGCCAUGCCGCGUGUGUGAAGAAGGCCUUCGGGUUGUAAAGCACUUUCAGUGGGGAAGAAAGCCUUGGGGCUAAUACCCUCGAGGAAGGACAUCACCCACAGAAGAAGCACCGGCUAACUCCGUGCCAGCAGCCGCGGUAAUACGGAGGGUGCGAGCGUUAAUCGGAAUUACUGGGCGUAAAGCGCGCGUAGGCGGUCUGAUAAGCCGGUUGUGAAAGCCCCGGGCUCAACCUGGGAACGGCAUCCGGAACUGUCAGGCUAGAGUGCAGGAGAGGAAGGUAGAAUUCCCGGUGUAGCGGUGAAAUGCGUAGAGAUCGGGAGGAAUACCAGUGGCGAAGGCGGCCUUCUGGACUGACACUGACGCUGAGGUGCGAAAGCGUGGGUAGCAAACAGGAUUAGAUACCCCGGUAGUC